AGCUAAGUUUACUUGGCCUAUUUAAGGACAGUCACAAAAGAGAGUUAAUGGAUACCAAAGUUUGGAAGAGACAGCACUAUCUCACUGUAACUUGGAAGUGAACAGGCAAAUAAUGAUGGAAAUCUGGGGAUUCUUGAUGGGCCAUUGAGAUUCUAAUGGGAUCUGGUAUAAACACAUUUUAGCAAGAGACUUACUUCCUCUCUGAAGUUUUCCUGACGUUGAAAUAUACCACAACAAACUCAGUACUGUCAAAAGUACUGGUUCUUAAAUACAGAGCACAAUAUCACUCCAGUGGAAGAGUUCAUCAGAUAGUGAGAAUCUCACCUAUAAAAUCUCAAGCAUGCCUGCCACGGAGUCUUGAGUCGGGAACAGAGGAGAAAAUAGCCAUCAAAUAGGGCGUAUGGUCAGUAUUAUUCAAAUGUAAUAGAAAAUCAAAUUAUAAUAAAACAUUUAACAUACCA
rnacentral:lncRNA from 1 species